GAAUUACUUUUGCAAUAAUAAAACUUUAAUUCUGUGCAACCCCUUCGUGUUUUGAGCGAGGAAACAGGGCCUUCUAUGGCCCGGCCCGGCCCACCAGCGUUUGGUUUGGAAACAGUGCGAGAAUGGACUUUGGAUUCCUUCCACUGAAACGGCCCGUGACGCCGGUUUGCCCUCCGGCCAGCGCGCGAUAGCUAUCCGUUUUCCGCAUCCGGGGCCCGUCUGCGCCGCCGGCGUUGUUCUCGUCGAUGGCGACCGCCCGGAGCCUUUUCCUACCUCCCUCCCGUUGUUAACUCCUAGGGGCGCCGGGUCACCGCGUCAUUUGACGGCGGCAGCUGGCGCAUGGUGCAUGGCGGCCACUUGAGGAGCGGAACUUUUGGGGUUUGGAUUGGAGGUGACCAAAGGAGCGAGCAACAUAACAACAAUCAGUAGACAUGACGAGCAGUGAAAUUCUCCGCCUGAAGCUUCUUUCUGGAAAUCGGCGAGACACCGAAAUGUUUGGUUACUGACAAGUGAGAACGUCAUCAUCCCCAAGAUGAACCAAGACAGGAUGCAGGACUCUAGCCUUACACUGCUUCAAUGGAUCUGCAACAGUACAGGAGGGCACAAGCUUGAGGGUGCUUCAAUGGUUUUGAAGUUGAGUUCUUUUUUUAAGGAUGGCACGAAAUUUGCCACAGGCUUUAUUACAGGACAGAAAAAACAUAACUAGAGUUACAAAAAAGUUGACUGACAUUUUGUAUAGGGAAAAGGAGAUCAACUGAUGGCUGAACAACUUAGUAUAAACUCAUUGCCCGAGGUCCGUGGAAGCUUUUGGUUCUUCGCUCCAGCCUACACCCACAGCUCCACUUCAUGUCUGAUCAACGCCAGCAGUUCCGGUAGUUGGGUGUCGCCUCCACAGAAGCACCUUGCAUUUCUCUCUCUCUCUUUUUUAAGGUAAUGGUAGCAGCUCUGCCUUUCAAUUAAGAAGGGUAAAGAGGUUUAUAUACAGAUCAAUAGGACCAUUGCCUCCAAAAGGAUUAUACGAUGCAUUCCUCUCUUUCCACAGCUCCGAGGCCACACAAGAGCUAGUGUAUUUCUGUGAGUUCAUUUCUGUCUUCUUUGUGUUAUCGUGUACGAAGUCGACAGGCACACUAAAUGACUAUUGGCGACAGUGGAAUUCCUCUAUCAGGGAGUGGUGAUACAUGUCAAUGUUCUCUACUUCAAUGGCUUCUGUUUUCUUUGUUUUUAUACAAUUUUUGGUACUCAAGUUCAGAUCAUUUCAGGUAAUCAUCAUCACUAAGAUGAAACCAGACACAAGUACUCCACCCCACAGGUACUCCAACUCCUGUUUGAUGUCCUUUCAUUCAGUAUUGCAAGAAUUCAUAGUGCUGCCAGUCUGCCACCGGCCCAUCCGAAAUCUGAAAGAAAAGAAAAUUGAAGUAACUCAAGAUUAGUAGCAAAUCCAAAAGGAUGUUGUAAGUUAUUCCUAUUCUUUUACUGCAGUCUAGUACCAAAUAAGAAUCGAUCGAUUGUUACCAUGCACAUUUAAUUUUUGUCAUUUUGUGAAGAUUAAGGCCAGAGGAUUUAUGCAGAUUGUUCUACAAAAACAGAUGCCAUGCCAUGAUAUGGGUGGAACAUACACGCUUAAGCACAUAACUAAUAGAGUAAUAGGAGAUAAUUGAUGAUAAUGAUGUGCAUAUCAGAGCUACCGUUAGGAAUAUCAGGACUAACUGCAUGCAUUAGUAGUCAAAGAGACUCAAGCCUGGCAUGGGCAAUAUGGGCCACUCAGGCUAGCCAAGGAGACUGCCUAUGAACCAUCUAUCUCAAAGGCUCACAUUUCUGAUCCUUCGGCACAAAGGACACAGGCAAGUCAUCCUUGGCUAUCAGAGGCAGGCCCUUAUCGCCAUGUAAGGCUUUGCCUCUGCGUACCAACUAGCUCCAUCACCUCUUGCUUGGCUUGCAGCACUUCUUCCAUUCAACACUAUUUAUAAUACCUUGUGCAGAGAACCAGAUCAAAUCUUUGCUCUACCAGAAUAUCUUAUUCUUCUAUAUAUUUUUUUUGAAUAGCACUUAUUCUUCUAUAUGGGUAGUAGAAUAUAUUCUAACUUUCCCAAUAUAUGCCAAAAACUUUUAAGGCUUCGCUGGAGUAGAUGUCAAAGAUAGUGAGCACAUUCUGACCUGAUCGCCAAUCGCCAUGCAUACAACUUUAUUUUACAUAAAAAUGAAGGCUUCCUUGGUUCCUAUGAGCUGAUAUCAUUUUAACUGUCGGAAAGAGAUUUUCUGAUGCUAAAACAUUACUAAAACCAUCCUGAUCGACAUCCUCUUUGCAAAAACAUGAAAGGUUCAAUUGCCCUUUGAACAGUGGCUAUGCUAGUACUAGUAGAUAUCAUGCAUAGUUGACAAAUUAAGAUGCCAAUCGAUCUGAGGAUGAGGAAUUGAGGAUAUCUUGCUAGAUACUAAUAAUGCAGAAACUUUGGUUCUGAUCGUCCACUUAGUAUUUCCUUUUCUGGAGAAGUAUUAGGCAUGUAGGCCAAGUUUAGCAUCUAUAAUUUUUUUUUCGUUUAUUAUCUCCUCCACACAAAUAUAACAAUGUGUCCACUGGUUGAAGAUUUUUCAUGAUGCAUGCAUGAGAAACCAAGAAGGAUGGGCCUAGAUCCGUUGCAAAAUUAGCAUGGGGCUAUGCUUCUUAGAAAUUCCAUUCCCCAGAUCCCCAUCCUUGUCUGGGAGCUUUCAGCAUUGGAUACACCCACACCAUGGAAACCAACAGACAAUGAGACAAUUUGAUAAGACACAAAGUGGGACAUAGCCUACAGAGUUCCAUAUCCACACCGAUUUAGAUCAGUUUCAGUUUUUAUUAUGUUCACAGGGCUCUAGCCAUAUAUCUUUUUAGUGGAUCAGUAACUUAUUGGGAACAAAUCCUCUCCCACUUUAGUAAACAAUCACCACCUAAAAUUAUCUUUUUCCUCUCGAACACAUAAGAGAGCUGUGUAACGGGGGCAAGGAUCUAUACUAUACAAGAAACCUUGCACAUGCACAACACAACCCACUAGGAUUCUAAACAAACAGUCGUGCAAUAGUGGUCUAGCUAGGUUAGGAGGAGGUUCACCAUCAAACACACAAAGAUUAUGAAGAUUCCACAAUGUCCAGAACCCUAAGAUGAUGAUGGAACUGAGAUCCUUUCUUAAUUGAUCAGGCACCCUCCUUGAGCUUCUGUCCCACCAAUCAUAAAAAAGGAGAUCUCAUCAGAUAGGGGAGUGAGACUGUGUAAGCCAACUCGGCGCAGAAGGAAAAAACAAAAUUCUCGUGCUUGGUUGAAGAAAACAGAUCCUACUUGUCCUUGGACAAAUUUUCAUGAUCCGGUCCACAAGUGUGUUGAAGCAUUCUUAUUUAUUGCUGCACAAAUAUUCAUGGGCUCUAUAUGCAUGAGGUGGAUUUGGCUCCAGAAAACAGAACCCAAUCGUUCCUGACCAGGUGCGCUAUUUUUUCGGUGACCAUCAUCUCCGAAGUUGGCAAUGGCUCGCAUACCCUCUUUUGGACAGACCGGUGGCUCCAUGGACAGUGCAUUGCAGACCUUGCACCUCGACUCUAUGCUACUAUUCCAAAGAGAAGAAUUUAAAAGUGCUCUGUUCAGGAAGCUCUCACUGAUCGGACUUGGGUUAAAGAUAUACAAGGUGCACUCACAGUUGGGGCUAUAGUGGAUUUUCUACAACUUUGGAACCUCCUAUCUGGUUUUGAGCUACAUCCUGGAGUUGAGGACUCACAUAUUUAGCAACUCUCCUCCAGUGGGCAAUACUUGGCCAAAUGCCCAAAUCUGCAUAUGAGGGUUUUUCCUUCGGCUCCACAUUUUUGGCCCCUAUGAGCCGAUUUGGAAAACAAGGGCACCAGUCAAGUGUCGUUUCUUUUUGUGGCUGGUUGCACAUAAUAAGCACUGGACUACAGAUUGUCUUGCGCGGCGAGGAUUGCCUCACCCUGAACAGUGUCCUCUAUGUGAUCAGCAUGAUGAGACCAUCAACCAUAUCCUAGUAUCAUGCGUUUUCGCAAGGCAUUUCUGGUACAUUUCUCCUUCGGCAAGUCGGACUCCAUGUUCUUGCUCCACAACCUUCAGACAGAUCCUUUGAUAGGUGGUGGGAGAAAACAAGUUCUGCUCUGAAUGGUGAGACGAAUAAAUUAAAGGGCUAAAUUUGCUAAUAAUCCUUAGAGCCUGGACAUUAUGGAAUCGCCAAAAUCGGUGUGUUUUUGAUGGGGUAAUGCCUAGUGUCACCAGGGCCUUGGUCGCUGCAGGGGAGGAGUGCCGGUUAUGGUGCAUGGCAGGUGCUCAGGGGCUGUCCUUCCUGACUGCCCCACUCCCUGAUGGUUCAGUUGCCGGUCUGCCCGACAAAAUGUAAGCGAGUGAGCGAGGCCACAAGCAAGUCAUAUCCUUGGCUACCAGGAUGAUCAGCUCUUAUCACCAUGCCUAUGCAAGGUAUAUCCCCUCUCCAUCCUCUAUCUCUUAUCACACUUAUUAAACUCUUAACAUUCUCAUCAUCUAUCUGCUAUCUUAUUUAGAUGGCCUCAUACCUUUCCGCAAGAGGGUAUGCCUGACCGGGAACAUGCAUGCAUUUGCAUGUAAAGAGAAUAUGUUCCUGGAAAUGAUUGGGUCUCCCUUUCCGGCGCCGUUUGUGGUUGCAAAGCUACCUGGGAAUAUUUCCUGCUUAUCAUCUUGUAUAGCAUGCAAUUGGCAGCUAGCAACGACUACGACUUAUGUACAGAGACAGCUAUGUUGACCUUGGCCACAUAACAGACAUCUAGCUAGGUAUUUUUUGAGAUCACGCCCCCGGCGCGUUUUUCAUUAAGUAGAAAGAAGUUUUGGCAGUACAAGAGAAGUGGUAACAACCUGGUUACCCAAGCCUAAAACUACUGGAUCCCAGAUCCGAAAUUACAUGAUAACACAAUUUUGCUACUAGAUUUCCCAAGGGCGGCUACAAUAAAAGAAGAAGGCGCCUCAAUAAAGCUGUUCUCUUCACAUUACGCAGUGAGUCAAAUGGACUGAAAUUGACCAAACGCAGAAGAGAAUGAUCUGACAUUGCAUUGGCCCACGAAUGGUAUCAUAUAUGCUUAGUGCUAUAUAUACGCCGCAUGCCUUUGACAGAUUUGGUGUUGGGAAUAGUAGUCCCUUUCUACUUAUCUCCAUGUAAAAAAGGCAGCAACGCUGACCUUCCACUGUAAGGUAAGAUGCAUCUGUAUGGUGGCAGAACCUUUUCUUCAAUUUUUCUUGAAAGAUAGGAUGCCAUAUGGCAGAAUUAAUUAUUGCUCAAUAAGCAGGUAUUACCUACUGUGAUUAUUUCUUUGGGCUACUUUUGUUUUUUUUUGAGGGAAAUUAGAGGGGUUUGCACCCCUACCGGAAUUGGGGCUACUUUUGUUACGUUGUUUCAUCCUUCUACUUCUGGUAAUACAUACCCUAGGAGCAGUUCACUGCUAGUGUAGGUUUCAAUGCGCGUGUUAAAACCUGAACAUUUGGUCUUGGUAGAACUUUUUUUUUGUGACAUACAUAUAUUUCGCUUGGUAGUUGGUACCAUUCAACAUGCAUAUAACCUCAGUCACAGUGGCUCAGUGAACUGAUGCAAAUCCGAAGAAAAGUUAUUUGAAGUUGCAGAGCUUCUCCCUGUCAGGAGUUCGGAGUGAGGAACUGCACAUAUACGCAACUGGAAUUCCAAGGUAGUGCCUUUAAUUUUGGCUCUCCUGCUGCAAAAAAAGAGUGAAUGAAACUCUUUAAUAUUAUUGCAUGACGUUAUGAUAGAAUGUUAUAUGGGUGGCCAAAACACCAUGGGACGUAUGAAAAUAGCCUUUUUACUGUUUUGAAUAAAAAUCCAGUAGGGUGUCCUUCUGUUUCCCUCAAAGGAUGCAGUUUCAUUUGCUUGGAAACAGUGUCAUGCAUGAUGGAAUUUUUUUUUUGAAGGUCAACGGGGGGGAGGCGAUCCCCACCUGUGAAUUUUUUUUUAUUUUAGCCCAAACCGGCUCGCGAAAUGUAAGAGUUACAAUGCAACCUCGUGUUGCCUUGGCUACUUUUACAACCAGAGAGAGAGGAGAGAGGAGGACAGGCAACCGAGAGUGGUAUGAGCCCUCUGCUAACUAACUUUCUCCAGGUUCUAGCCAUUUGUAGAAUGGAGCACCAAUGAUCAGCAACAAUCCUUUUCCUCAACGGAAAUCUGUACUUCCACAUCAGGGUGGUGGAUAUGCAUUCCUGGAGCACAUGAUCUGCCGUUUUAGAUUCAUUCCUGAAGAUCUUUGCAUUUCUUGCCUUCCAAAUAUGCCAGCAAACCAAUGCCAGAAAGGAUGGGAACUCUGGAAACUGGUUGCCCGAGGGCCCUCGGACUGUAUGCAGUUCGCUCAUAUCCACUGAGAUUAUGGACUGGAGGUUCAUGCUUGCUGAUUAUGAUAACCAAUGAUCAGCAUGAUGGAAUUCAUCCCUCCUCUCUCACUCUCUUAAUUUCUUUGCGACCUUUAUCACUUUGUUGAUAUGUCACCAUAUUAAAUUGGUGCAACCCACGGUUACCCUAAUGAGAUAAUAUUUUGGUCGUCACACAUUGCCCUGUUUGGAACAGCUUUUGUUCCGCUUUUGGCCCAUCUAUAGUUUCUACCAAACUCGGCCCUAAAUAUAAUGUGAUGAAAAACCAAAAUGGGCAUACUUAAAAGUAUUGCUAACACCGGCAAGAUUGUCUAUGUAAGGAAGUGAGUUUAGCUUAGCUAAUUGCGUGGGAAAUAUGGUCCUGCAUCCAAACACCCGAGUUCGAGUUCUCUUUCAUAUUGAACUUGGCUGUUUAUUUCUCUUCUUUAUGGAAAACAAACACCUAGUUCCUCCGAGGAUGGAUCUUUUUCUUUUUUAGCAUUGCUGCAAACCUGCAACAAUGGAAACUUGUAUCAGUUUAUAUAUUCAGCUUGUAGUUUGAGAAAUCUUAGGAUUGGUAGUUAUAGAUACUUCUUUGAAGGCCUUGAUGUAAAUUCUCAUAAGACGUGUUGAAAAAAAUAAAUUCUCAAUAUCAAACAUCAAUUCAGUAGCAUUUAAUUAUCAUUGACAACAAUAAUCAUCCAACCUAUUAUAUUUUAUAAGAAAAAUUAUAUCCUCACUCGUAUCAUAAAAAUAUGUGAAAUGACCUCCAAAUAAGAUGCAAGCCUA